UACAGAGGUCUCAAGCGUUGUUCGGAUUCAUUGGGCGUAAAGGGUGUGUAGGUGGCGCGCUAAGUCGGGUGUGAAAUUUCGGAGCUUAACUCCGAAUCUGCAUUCGAUACUGGCGUGCUUGAGGACUGGAGAGGAGACUGGAAUUCAUGGUGUAGCAGUGAAAUGCGUAGAGAUCAUGAGGAAGACCAGUGGCGAAGGCGGGUCUCUGGACAGUUCCUGACACUGAGACACGAAGGCCAGGGGAGCAAACGGG
rnacentral:rRNA from 1 species